rnacentral:rRNA from 1 species
GCUAGACGGAAAGACCCCGUGAACCUUUACUGUAGCUUUGCACUGGACUUUGAGCCUGCUUGUGUAGGAUAGGUGGGAGGCUUUGAAGCGUGGACGCCAGUUCGCGUGGAGCCAUCCUUGAAAUACCACCCUGGCAUGCUUGAGGUUCUAACUCUGGUCCGUAAUCCGGAUCGAGGACAGUGUAUGGUGGGCAGUUUGACUGGGGCGGUCUCCUCCUAAAGAGUAACGGAGGAGUACGAAGGUGCGCUCAGACCGGUCGGAAAUCGGUCGCAGAGUAUAAAGGCAAAAGCGCGCUUGACUGCGAGACAGACACGUCGAGCAGGUACGAAAGUAGGUCUUAGUGAUCCGGUGGUUCUGUAUGGAAGGGCCAUCGCUCAACGGAUAAAAGGUACUCCGGGGAUAACAGGCUGAUACCGCCCAAGAGUUCAUAUCG